UACAGAGGGUGCGAGCGUUGUCCGGAAUCACUGGGCGUAAAGGGCGCGUAGGUGGCGGCCCAAGUCCAUGGUGAAAGCUCGAUGCUCAACAUCGAGUCGGCCACGGAUACUGGGUUGCUCGAGCACUGUAGGGGCAGAUGGAAUUCCGGGUGUAGCGGUGGAAUGCGUAGAGAUCCGGAAGAACACCGGUGGCGAAGGCGGUCUGCUGGGCA
rnacentral:rRNA from 1 species